CAAAAAGGUUAGUCAUUGAGAAUUGGACAAUACACAAAAAUGGCAAAUAUUUAAAUGUGUUGAUAUGAUAAUGUAGAUAUUUUAAACUUUUAGCAGAGGGUAUCACAUACUCUAAAAUCCCAAACUUUUAAAUAUUUCAAGGAAAUUUUAUAUCUAAGGUAAUGCUGGUGAUUCGUUGAAACAUCACAACGGAAUGAAGUUCUCUACCUACGACAGAGAUAAUGAUCAGUGGGGUGGCGGCUACUCGUGCGCUGUGGACUGCCAAGGUGCUUGGUGGUAUAAUAACUGUCAUCACUCCAACCUCAAUGGUCUCUAUCUCAAGGCAGGGGAGAUAUCUGCGAAAGGAAUGGAUUGGUGGAAAUGGAAAAGCGACAACAGAUCCAUGAAGAAAACUGAGAUGAAAAUACGUCCUGCUGGAUUUUAGAAAUCCCAGGAACACGUUUCUUAUCAAACACGCACUGAACAAUUGUGUAGUUACAGGAGAAGAAUAAUUUAAUUUAUCAUGCACACUAGAUAACGAGAUUCCUAGAUAACGAGCUGUUGCAUUAUAAGAAUUAUAGAUCGAACUUAAGCUUCAAAAACCAUUAAUAUAAUAAUAAUUCAUGGGGAAAACACAAAGAAAAAUCAUAAGCCUGUCGUACCUUUAUAUGUGAUAGAGAUUUCCCUUGAUUUACAUAAAUUUUAACUUUGAUUUUCUCGACUUACACAACGUAUUUUUUGAAAAUUAAUUUGCCAAUGAACUUACUAGAUGGAUCGUUUUUGAAGCAAUUUAAAACCCGGCUUCGCCUCGUAUCUUUAUCCUGCUCAUGUUUUAAAUAGUAUACUUUAACACUAUAGAUAUUGCCGUAUAGUCGUAACGGCCAAAACUAUAGAUCAACGAUAAAAAUAGCACUAAAGUUGUAAGAGUUUGUGGUAUCAUGACUGGAUUUUAUAUGAAUUUGUCUGUUUAUUCAUAAAUGUUUUUGUCCCACACGUGACGGAUUUAGCGUUUAUGAAUAAUUGUCUAAUUAAAGAGUAAAUUUUAAUAUACAUGCUUUUUUAAAUAAUAUAGUC